GGAGACAGGAAGAGUCUAUGUUUUUCUGCUCCUUUGCCACGGGAAGCAGGACUGUGCAGACGGCACCAGGUAGGGUAUCGAUCUUCCCUGGCUGAUGAGGUCGAGUCCUCCGCACACACCCACACAUACUGGGCACCCUCAGUGUGCUGGGGCCCCUGCCCCUUUCUGAGCCCCUCCUCUCCAGGUCCCUCUGGCUGUGGGGUGCAGAGAGCACCCACCACCCGCCCCCCGCCCCGCCAGGCAGUAGGCGUCUCAGGGAGGAUGCUGGGCCUGCCAGCUCCCAGCAGCUCUGGGGGCCCCUGAGGGCUGGGGAGCAGCCGGGGAGCGGCCGGGGAGGCAGCCGUGCCCAGGAGGAGCGGCUGGGGCUGAAUGUCGGGGCUCAAGUAGGGGAGGAGAGGCAGUCCCAGGGGCCUCAAGUGGAGGACACAGCAGCUCGUUCUGUGCCACCCUCCGUCGUGAGACUCUGCGACGUGCGGGAACCAGACUGGGCACAGAUUUCUGCUCAGUCCAUGAAAGAAAACACUUUCGGGGCAGCACAGCUGAGAAGAAGUAGAACACGCUGCCUUCGGGGAGCGAGCACCCUGUCACCAGGGUAAUGUAAGUGGAAGCUGCAGGAUUAUCCGGCAGGGAUGCUGGACGAUGGCUGUCCCUGCUAUUUGAGGGGGGUGUGAGCUCCGUCAUUUCCAGAGCGCCACCUGCUUCGGUCUGUGUUUGGGGCUGGAGGGGUCUUGGUGGAGCCUGGCUGCCGAGAUCCGGCAUCUCCCCGUCGUGCUUCCGCUCAGCUGUGUGAUCGCAGGCGAACCCCUCGCCCGUCCUGAGCUCCAGGCCCUCCACCUGCGAAACCGGAGGCCUGCACGGGUGGCUCCUGCAACGGCCGUCGGCAGUGCUCCCCGCCCGGGUCUGGGCACCGGGGGGACGGCUCCCACCCCAGACAGCCGGGUUUCCUGCCUCUUGCAGGGUCCUUGGGGAGGCAGCUCCCCGCUCCCGGAAGGAAACCCCACCGGCUGUUCCCACGCAGCUUGACGUGCCGGCAGAGGGGCCGUGGACGUUUUCCCCCCAGAGACCAUCGGUUUGUUGUGAUGAGUCUCGACGUGGCCGUCUCCACAAUGGCUCGACCUGUAAACGAGACCCUGUGCACGGGUGACAAAGGCCGGGGGCGUUUUACAACACUCCCGCAGCCAGCGAGGGGGACAGCCGCGAGCUGCUCCACUCGCGGUCCCACGCGGCGUGCCCCUGGACGCGGCCGCCCGUCACCCCCGUGGACCCUGCCGGUGAAAAGUCAGGUGUGGGUCCCGCCCACACCCGGGGGGAGGCAGGUCAGAGCGUGAACACAGGGGUUGGGCCUUGGGGCCGCUGGCCUGUGCGCCCCCGUCCUCACCCUCGCAGACACACGCACCCGCAGUCACGCGCAGGCGCGAGGGCCCAGGCCCGAGCAGAUCGGGAUGAGGAUCGACGGACGGGGUCAGACGCGCCCCCCCCACACCCGUCCCCUGCACGCGACGCGGGGGGUGGGAGAGCGGGCUUUGCGUAGUUACCUGCUGUGUGACCCCGGGCAGGCUGCCUCCUGCUGGGUCUCUGCUCCUCAUCCACGAGCGGCAGUGGGGUUUGGCCCGGCUCCCAGAUGCCGCAGACGUGUCCCCCAGCGUCCACGCCACCCACCUUCCAGGGGGAUCAGUGGAGGUUUUGUUUUCCGAACGACCAAGCAAGUAACUCAGUUCUCCGUGGACCCUGGCUGAGCGUCCCCCAGAUCUGACUCGGUCCGACUCUGGCUCCCUGGAGAUGGCGUCAGACCCUGCGGGCCGGGGCUCAGUCCCCAGGGCCGCCCCCUCCCCUUCGGGCUGCAGGACGACUGGCUGUGGAGCAGAGGGUCCCACGACCCCCUCCUCGGGUCGGAUCGUUGGCCGGAGCGGCUCGCAGAGCUCGGGUGAACGUGUCGCGCACUGGAUCGCUGGUUUAUGAUGAGAGGAUGUCUGUCACUGGAAGAGCGGACGGGAGAGAUGCGUGGGGCAGGUGCACAGGAAGGUGCGGAGCUCCCCGCCCUCCCCCGGCCCGUGGCCUCCGCGGCUCCGCCUUCACCGCCCUGGAAGCCCUCCCACGCGGCCCCAGGUCGGCUGGGGGGUGGGUCCCGGAGGCUUCAUGACCCUGGCCCGACCGAGGGAUCACUGGCCCUGGCCGAGGGGUCUGUCUCCAGCCCCUGUUCCCUCCGGGGUGCAGGGGUGGGAGGGGGAGACCCUCCAGUCACAUGGUCGGUUCCUCCCCCAGCCCCCAUCCUCGGGGGCUUUCCAGAGGCCACCUCACUCGCAUAAGACACCUUGUCACUGUCAUCACUUAAGCCCCAGAGUUUUAGGAGCUCUGUGCCAGGAUGGAUGAGGACCAAACAUAUUUCACACCAUAAAACAGCAUCACGCCUGCCCACACAGAGCCCUGAGCCCGGCAGAUGGGACCCGGGAGCCAGUCCAAAGCACCAGACGCUCAGGUGGGAAUCUGCAGAGUUGGUGGUCAGGUGGAGGGUCCCUGAGCAGAGGGGACGUGCAGGGGCACUGGCAAAGAGCAGAGAAGGCUGCCUUGGAAGUGGCCCCUGCUGCCCGCUGUCUUCCACCCUGUGCUUGCAGAUGGCGGGGCUGAUCUCGGGUGGACGGAGAUCCUCCGAGGUUUGCUCUGUGGCCCUGGAGGCAGUGGGGGGAGGGGAGGUGGAGGAGGGGGUGGGCGGAGGUCACGGGGUCCCCCGCUCCGUCUUGUUGCCGUUCAUCCUUGAGCAACCCCAGAGGAGGGGGUCUUCAUUGGCACUCUGUACUGAUGAGGAAUCAGACACAGAGAGGUCGAGACACUUGCCCAAGGCCACACAGUGAAUGGCAGCCCCAGAGCUGGAACCGCGGGCUGUCUGGCUUGUGUGCACACGGGACAAGGAAGGAUGAAGGGCUGGGUACUUUACGAGGAGAUGGGGCCCCAGCAAUGUCCUAAGGCCCCCCCCCCCCCGCCAAGAUCUGGAGCCACGGCGGGGGGUGUCCCACAGCUCCACGUGAGCCACCCCCGAUGGCAGACCCAGCCCAGAGCUCCAACAGCAGGGGUGAAGCGAAAGGAGCUUCUAACACCUCAGCCUCCCCGGAGACUGUGGCCUGGAAUGCCCCGUUUCUUAAACAGCCUGUUUAAUCACCAGGCCGGACGCCUGGAGCAGGGCCCUCAGCCCCGCUGCCCAGGCUGGACGGGAGUGAGGACUGUUCUCUGCAGCCAGGGCCCAGCUCCAUACUCGGCACCGAUUCACCCCAUUUAACCUCGAGCUCGGGCUCUGCUCCAUCCCGGGGUCCCCGCGGGAGCCGGCAGGUCCCUCCCUCGGCCGGGGGGGUGGGUCCCCGGGAAGCCAGCACUGUGCUUGGACCACUGGCCAAGUGCUGCGUGUGCACUUCCUCCGCCCCGCCGAGGCUCAGCAGAGGCUCGGCGUGGAGGGCUGGGAGCCGUUUCUGGGCAGGAAGAAAAACUGUAACUCAAGCUCCCUCUCGCUCUGAGUGAAAAACUCUGCUGUCGGCCAGGCAGCCUGCCCUCUGGGCUCUCUGAGGGCCUUGCUGCAGCUGGGGACCCAGGGGCCCUGUCGAUGGAGCCCCUGAGACAGGGUGGCUGGCCUUCCUGUUGGGCCGGCCCCAGGGAGCUUCCCCAUCGGAGCCCACCUGGCCCGGGCCUGCAGGUGGGGGUCCCUCACUGGGCCCCCCAGUGGCAGUCUCUCCACCCCACGCCUCUCCCAGGCUCAUCUGUGUGCCCUGACCCAGGCUGUGCUGUGUUCCCGGCUGGGGGCAGACCGGCCCGUCAGAAACCCGGGGUCGUGUGCCAGUGACUUAUUCUGCCCUAGGAUUCAAUCUAGAGAGAAUGAGGCCAAACCCUGGGAGGAACCUAAGCAAACAGAGUCCCAUAGGUUCCUAGAGUGCCUAGUUCUAGAAGGUUCCUGAGCUCCCGAGGAACACAUCCCUGGCCGUGGGUUCUGUGACAAGAGCUUCUGUCUCUCUCUCUCUCUCUCUCUCUCUCUCUCUCUCUCUCUCUCUCUCUCUCUCUGUUUUGGCUGCAGGUAGAGUUGGUUUCUCUUUCUUGCAUCAAAAAAGAGUUAACUUGGGUGUGGGAGGUGCCCCCUGCCUGGGGGUCCUGGGUCCUGCCCCAGGCUACUCUACCCAGAACAGGGCUGCCCUUCAGUGUGCAGAAGAAUUCAGGCUCUGAGGGCUCGAGAGCCAGCCCGAGUGACCACGGUCUGCACGGGCUCCCCCACCCCGCAGCACUGUCCCCCAGUUGGGGACCCACCGGGAUGCAGAUCCCUGUCUGCAGAAAUGCCCGGCCCUGGCAUGCGCUCAGAAGUUGGGGGCAUCUUCUCUGUCUUCAAGGGGCCCCGAGGCGGCCCCAGGGUGACUGGGGUUAGGAGAGGCAGGAAGGGCACAUUCCCAAUGUCUGUGCCGUUAUUAGCCGGCUGGGGGCCACUGGCUCUGCCUGUGGUUGUAGGUCAUUGUCCGAACAGACUGGAGUCCCUGGAUGCAUCCCAGCUGGACGGGAGGCCUCUGACCAACCUGAAGCCGCCCCGUGUCCCUUCUGUGUCACACAGCCGCUCAGGAAGCCCCAGUGACAGUGGAUGGGAGGGAAGCCCGUCCCUCAAGCAUUCACGGCCAUGAGGGUCUGGCCGACCCUGGCUGUGGCCACGUGGCUGCAGGGACAGGGACAGCAGCUCUAAUGUGAAGUAGGUGCCACGCACCUCGGGUGACAUGCCCACGUGGUCCCCUUUGCGGUGGGUCCUGAGACUGGUCUCCUGGGUUUGGGGCAAGUCUCUUCCCCUCUCUGAGCCUCAGUUUGUUCACCUGUACAGUGGGGAUGUCCCUCUCUGAGUGAGUGACUCCUGUGUCCUUGGGCUGACCGGCUGCUUCGGGGCCCCUUCCCUCCCCAGCCUCUGCCGCCCCACAGGGCCCUGAGGGCUGGCAGGGGCAGGGCCUGGGGGCGCCCAGCCAGCCACUCCUCCCUGGAGCUGAUGACAGACAUGCGGAGUUUCCAUGGAGGUUGGAAAACAGAACACAGAGAACUCGGAGAUUUUGUCAUCGCAACUCUCGAGUAACCGAAAACAAUGACAUCGUAAAUCUAACUCCAGCCCCUGGAGCUGGGUUUUCUCUGCGGUGUGGAGGUGCCCCCCGUGAAAGGGUGGCUGGAGGAGGCAGGGAAGAAGCUGGGUGCCUGCAGUCAGCCUGCGCCCCUUAUCAGACGCCCCGAGACAUUUCCAGGGACGUGGGAUAACGGGCUGUAGCUCCUGGGCCGCCCGUGGCAAAUGACACUCGGGAAACACAGGACAGGUGUCGCCUGUUCUUGUACCCAGGUGCCCUAGAAGCAGAGCCUGAGACCGGGGUUGUGGCUGUGUGAUUUGUUGGGAAUGUUCCCAGGACAGGGCAGGGUCUCUGCUGGAGUCACGCUUCGGCCUGGACCGCAGAAGCUCUUGAGUGUGAACCAAGCCACCCAGGCAGGCCCAGCUUGUACCUGCGGGUGCUCUGGAUUGGGGGGGGGGUGGGGGUGGGGGGGCAGGCGCUGACCCAGGGCCGUUUUCCUCUGAAGGGGCAGCUGUGAGGGUGAGUCAGCCCGAUCCUCCGGCCGCUGGGGGAGGCGUGCGGGGCCUGGUCAGGGAGCUCCAGUCCCUGCAACAGCCGUGUGUCCGUUCCCAUUUCACAGGUGAAGAGACUGAGGCCCAGAGAGAUCAUGGGGCUCGUCCAGGUCACACCCCACACGCAGUAGAGGCAGGGCGGCCCCUGGCGUGCCUCCCCCACACAUCGUUCUUGCAAGGAGGAGGCUGUUGGGUGCCGACCACCCCCCCCCCCCCAACGCCUCUGAGGCUGGUUGCAGCCCCUCCACGUUAGCGUGGAAGCCGCGCCCAGGACCGCCGGGGCCACGGGGAAGGUCUCACUGCUAAGUCGGAGCGGUGCUCUGUCCCCGUGGUCGCCGACCCGGGCUGUGGGGUGGGUGGAGAAGUAGGUUGUGGGCGUGCAGAGUGGGAGGUGGCCGUGCGGAGGGGCAGUGGGAACCCGCGUCUGGAACUCAGGCACGGCAUUUCGGUGCCACCCGGGCAGAAACGGUGCAGCGGGGUCUUGUGCUAUGAUAAAUGACCACUCUUAGCAGUUUAAAUAACCCAAAUGUGCUAUGGGGUCUCACUGGCCAUGGCUGGGCCCGGGGCAGGACUCCCUGACUCUCCCUCUUGCCUGCCCCUCAGGUGAGUGUGGAAACAAAAUUUAAAAAUU